rnacentral:snRNA from 10 species
AUACUUACCUGGAUGGGGUCAAUGGGCGAUCAGUAUGACCCAUGGCCUAGGUUGGUGACUUUCAUUGCACUUUGGAAGGGUGCCUGCCUAAGGUCGGCCCAAGUGGUCGAGCCUACGUCAUAAUUUGUGGUGGAGGGGGCCUGUGUUCGCGCGGCCCCUAU